AUGAGAUUCCUCUGGCGCUCCCGCCUCGCCGGCCGCCAAUCCCUCCCGAGCACCUCCUCCCCAAUCCCCUCCUGCGCCUCCUCUUCCAAUCCCGUGACGAUCUCCUCCCCCAAUAGCUCAUGCCUGCCUUCCACCCCGAGCUCCGCCUCGUGCGUCUCUCUCUCUCGGUUCAGCAGCAGGUCUGCAGCCCUGUGCGUGGUGGAGCUGCACAAGGUAUCAUCGCUGAGGUGCAGGCCGGUGGAGUUCUUCGCGGGAGACCCCAUGUCCCUGGUUGCCCUGUCAAUCCUGUCGUAGAUGCCGCCGAUUUCUAGCUCUUUCUGCAAGCCACUUGGGAAAUUAUGCGGUAGGAAAAGAAGGAAAAUCUUGUGUUUGGAGAAGAGACAUUCCAUGGGAAUUUGUUGGAAAUUUGAGCAACUCAGGGAGGAAUAGUGUGUUGGUGGCUCCCGGAGUAAGAAGAUGUUCACGGUGCGAACAACAAAUUACAGAGGCUGGUCUUCUUUUCUCUCAUUGGUUCCUUGCCUUUCCCUUGCAUAGUUGGGUAUUUCUCUUUUGUAUAUUGUUCAAGAGCAUGAUGUUUUGAUUGUUUAGGUUCUGAACCUGGACCAAAAAGUACAUCCCCGCUCUUAGUCUAAUGGCGUAACUAUGCCAGGUUUGGCAGCCAACGCUGCUGUCAACUACCAUGGCGCCACUGUUGCUAUCGUCACCGUCAAUAAUAAGUCCACCUCCUGAUUCUGUUUAGAUAUGCCAGCAAGGUGUUCGACAAAAGUCGAGGCGGGAUUUCACUCAAUUGAUAUUUCUGUUGGGAAAAUAUGAAAAGGUUCUGGAGAACUCCGUCUACCAGUUUCUAUGGGUCGUACAAGGCGGACCUUCAAGCAAAUAAUUUGGCGGGCCAAGCUAGCAAAGUUACUUAGGACGCGGGGCUCAGUGGUCAGCAUGGACGUCGCCGUCAUCGGUUCUCCUUGUCUUCAGACCUGAAGUUUGGCUCAGAUUUCGAAACAAUGUAAGACCAAAGCAAUUCAUAUACAGUGGAAACUUAUGAAGAUAAAUCAUGGCAAGUAUAAGCUAUAUAUACAGAACAUCCAUUGGAGAACAAUUUCAUGCUUACGAACAGGUGGAAUGUACAACACCUCAAAGUGAGCUUCUUCUCUUCUUAAUUAAUCCAGAUCCAGGUGCAAAUCGUUGAUGAGUGCCCAGAUUUCAAUGAGUGCUCAGAUUUUUGCUUAUGGUAGGUACUGUCUUGCUUUUGAAUAUUGUUGCAGAUGAAGUACUAAAAUCAAUGUAGCAUUAUCAAUUAGGUAUUGUUAGUAUCUAUAGCAGUAGCUGGUGAGAACUAAAUCUACGAGAGAGAGCAAGUACUGUUUACUCUACAAAGGUCUUUUAAUCAGUGAGUUAUAUAUUUUUGAUAGAUAUACACAUGAUGCACCUGUUUUUGCUUAAGAUAGGUUCUCACUUGCUUUUGAAUAGUUGAUGCCAACCUCUUCCAUUAUGGAGGAUUUUCUUCAUGGCUAUUACUACAGUUGUUAGACUCAAGCCUUUCUUGUCUUGAUACCUCAAAAUAAUUUUUAUUUCCCAUUGUUAGCAUAUGCUCUGCCUUUGGUAGGUACUGUCUCCUAAGAAGUAGUUUUUUCGCCAUGCCCUCAUGUAUAUUUGUGUUACAAAUUCAGUGCCUUUGUGUGUUUCAGAGCGUGUUUCCGCUGAAGUCAGGUGUUUGCCUUUUCUCCACCCUGUACUUUUUGUUUACCUAGAUGUUUGCAUGUUCUGUUUCUAAAGGAUAUUUUUCAUGUUUUGUGUUGGUUGGGUUCUUUUCAUUUUAUUCCUUCCAUACCACAUGGUGUUCUACCUACUCUUCCUCUAUUCAUUUGUUGUGAUUGGUUGCUUCACAGUGCCAUUUGCCCUCCCAUUCCUACCAAUGUCCAAGGUGGUGGUGAUGUUUCUGCCCUUGGAGGUGUUGCUGAUCUCAAGUUACAAACCUAGAUAAACUGUUGACUCUAUUCAUGUGUCCAUAAUCUCCAUGAAAGUUUCCCCGCUCAUUGGUUUAUUUCUAGAUUAUUAGUUCUUCAUGUGUGUAUGGACAAUGUUGUCAGCAAUAUUGCAAAUAGUUCAGAUGAUAUCCCGAAUUAAGGUUCGCUUGAAAUUGUCAAUGUGCACCUCAUCUCUGUUCUUUUAUGGUUGGGGUAUCUGUUCUUCUGCACAUAGACGAAUAGGAUCUAAUCAAAUGUUUAAUUAGAGGUAUUUAUUGGUGGACUAAUGAAAGAGCUGAUUCAAGUUGUAGCCCUGUUGAAAGGAUGAAAGAAUUCAGGUUGUGGCCCUGUUGAAAGGAUGAAAGGAUGCACAGGUUAUUGCCCUGUUGAAAGGAUCAAAGGAUUCAGGUUGUAGCCAUGUUGAAAGGAUGAAAGUAUUCAGGUUGUAGCCCCUAUUCUCUGCUUCGUGAACUGAUGAAAGACUGCCCAAGCAGCACACCAUUCAAGUUGUAGCUCAAUUGGCGAUUUAUAGAUCUAUAGCCAAGUUUGCAUCGUGCAGGUGAAUGAAGAGUUUUAGAACCCAGAGAUCCUAAGAAACUACUGAAAUGACAUGGUUUGGUGGUGUGCUAUGCCGAAUUGUCCAUAGGCAGCCUAUAUAGAUGUUACUUUUUCACUUGUGUUGCUCUUGAUAGAACCAUCGAGCAUUUGUGU